GAGAGAGAGAGAGAGAGAGACAGAGACAGAGACAGAGACAGACACAGACACAGACAAAGGGAGAUACAGAGUGACAGAGAUCGAGGAGGGGAGAGAGACAGAAAUAUAGGUGGGGAAAGAGAGACAGGAGGGGGAGAGAGACUGAGACAGAAAGAAAGAUAGACAGGAGGAGGGAGAGCAAGAGAGAGUGAAAGAGAGGGUGAGAGAGAGAUAGAGAAAGGAGGAGGGGAGAGAAACAGAAAGGGAAAGACAGUGAAAGAGAUAAGAGGAGGGGAAAGACAGAGACAUAGAUAGGAGGGGGGAGAGAGAUAAUCAGAAAAAUAGAAAGGAGGGGAGAGAGAGAGAGAAAGGGAGAGACAGAGAGUGACAGAUAGGGGUGGGGAGAGAGAGAGACAGAUAGGAGGGAGAAAGAGACAGAUAGACAAAAGGGGGGAAGAGAGACAGACAAACAGAAAGACAAACAGGAAGGGAGAGACAGAGACAGAAGGCAGAGAGAGAGUGAAAGAGAAGGUGAGAGAGAGACAGAGACAGGAGGGGGACAGAGAAAGAUAAACAGGAGGGGAGAGACAGAGAGAGUGAGGAGAGAGAGACAGAGUGACAGAGAUCAAGGAGGGGAGAGAGACAGAGAGAGGAGGGGGGAGAGGCAGAAAGAAAGACAGGAGGGGGGAAGAGACAGAGGGAGACACACAGACAGAAAGACAGGAGGUGAGAGAUAGAGACAGGAAGGGGAGGUCGAGAGAGAUCAAAAGAGAAGGUGAGAGAGAGACAGAGACAGGAGGGGGAGAGAGACAGACAGACAGGAGGAAAGAGACAGAGACAGGAGUGGGGAGAGACAGACAAACAGAAAGGGAGAGACAGAGUGAAAGAGAUAUAGGGGAGAAGAGUCAUUGAUAGGAGGGGGGAGAGAGACAGUGACAGAGAUAGAGAAGGGGAGAGAGAUAGAGAUAGGAGGGGAAGAGAGAGAAAGAUAGGAGUGGGGAAAGAGAGGAGGGGGGAGAGAGACUGAGACAGAAAGACAGACUGGAGGGGGAAAGUGAGAGAGAGUGAAAGAGAAGGUGAGAGAGAGAUAGACAAAGGAGGUGGGGAGAGAGACAGAAAGGGAGAGACAGUGAACGAGAUAAGAGGAGGGGAAAGACAGAGACAUAGAUAGAAAGGGGAGAGAGAGACAAAAGACAAGAGGGGGAAAGAGGCAGACAGACAGACAGAAAGGAAGAGACAGAAACAGAGUAAGAGAGAUAGAGGGGGGAGAGAAAGAAAUAGUGAGGGGAGAGAGAGAGAUACCCGAGGGAGAGAGGGAAGAGAGGAAGAGGGGGGAAGGAGGAGGAUGGAGGAAAAGACAAAUCAACAGAGUGACCACUUGAGUGAGAGAUGGAUGGGUAUACUGAAAUAGCAAGGGAACAUUACAUAAUUAGAGAAAAUUAACCAGGAAAUGGUAGGUGAAUGGUCAAAAACAAAGAUACAGGGAGAGAAAAACUGAUGGAGAAAGAUAGAUAGAGAGGGUGACAAUGAUUGAUACACAGGCACUGAACGUGUGAAUGGAGAAAUUCGGGCUGUAGGUAAGGUGACAGAGAGAUCUAACUAGCAGAAAGUGGAUGAACAGUAUGAAAUGUAAGAUGACUGACAAAGCAGGGAAGAGAUAAAUGAACAAAAUGAAUCUUGUUAUAGAGAAUGAGACAGAAACGGAUCUCUUAGGCUAAACACUUAGAGAUAAAGUAAUAAAAAGUUAGAGAGAAUUCAGCAUUGCAAAACCCAUGGCUGAAUAGCCCAAGAGAAACAUGUUAUAGUGAAUGCUAAUAUUAAAAACCCAAGAAAAAUGGAAGAGAGUGUAAGACAUCAAGAAAUGAAUUUGUGGAGAAAUUGGAAUCACAAAGAAAAAAUGGUAAGAGAGAUAAAAAUACAUGGAAAGAGUUACACUAAAUGAGAGAUUCUUGGCUGAAGAUGCAUGUAUGAGUGAAAGGAGAAGCCUUAACCAUGAAGCAUUGAAAUCAGUGAAAACACGAAUAGAGAGGAAAGUGUGCAAGGAGAGGUCUAGGGAAGAAUAUAGGGAUGUUUAUAGCAAUCCAGACAGUGAUUGUGACAGGCUAGUGAAAGACAGGCUAAUGGAGAAAUCCACAAAGUGAGCUUUGGAAUAUGAAAGGCGAUUAAUAGUCAAAAUCAAAAUUAGAAGGAAGGAAGGAAUGACAAGAGUUCUACAAUGCAAGAUGAAGUGAGAACAAUUGGCAAGACUGAAAUGAAAUGGUUAGACAGAGCCAUGGAUGAAAGGAUCUUUAGAUUAGCUGAAGAAAGGAGACGUGAAUGGAUGGCAAGGCCUAGAUAGUAACAGAUGAAUGAAUAUUGAGGCAAAAGUAGCAAGAAUAUUGUGAUUACAAAGAGCUGGAAAAUGAAAAGCAAACGACUAUAUUGAGAAUUAGAUAUGGAAUAUUUGCUGAGAUCCUGACAUUGAGAUUCAGGUGAAAGUGCAAAUCUAAAAAGUAAGGUUUAGAUACUUGGAAAAACAACCCAAGUGAGAAAUGGAAGUGUAAAGUCAAGUCCCAAGUCAGAAUUACCUGCUUAGAAAAACAUACUGGAAUUGGCUGGGGAGAUAUGGAUUAAUGGAGAGGCUUAGACAGGGACGAAUGCAUUAUUUGCAGGGACAGGUGGGAGUUAGGUGUGUAUACCAGCAGGGAGGUACUCAGAGAGACAGACAGGCAGGAGGGAAGAGACAGAGACAGGAGUGGGGAGAGAGAUAGACAAACAGAAAGGGAGAGACAGAGUGGAAAGAGGGGGGAGUUAGGUGUUUAUACCAGCAAUACAGAUGCAAGGGAUAGGGUAGAAUGAGGGUGGGAAUAAUAAAGAAUUCUAGGAGGGAAAGAAAGAUAAAAGAACAGAAGGAGGGUUAGGAGUGACCACGAGAGACCCAAAUGGAGCUACACGACGGACGGAUCACAGCGCUGGAUUCCAUGGAGAAGAUGCAACGGAUCAAGGAACAGCUGAAUUGGAUCUAUGAUGAAGGAAUACAGGUCAGCAAACAGCAAUCCUGAGAGGUGAACAUUUACAGCUUUGGUGGCUACCUCACGAAUCCAGGAGAUCCAGAGACUUCGAAUAAGAGUUGUCCGGCGAGAAGGAACUGUUUUCUUGCAACUGGACCUUUUUUUGGAGGAAUGAACUUAUAUCGGGACUGGAAUGGACCUUGUGACAUUGGAAAGUUCAGAAAAGCUACUGGAGGUUCGCGAGCUUGAGUCCAAGACAAACUUGGUAAUCUGCCAAGCCUAGUCUGCCAGCACGGCCCCAAGGGACAGCCAAGACACCAGGUCCUACAAGCAAGAAAGCAACUCUGUCCAUUGAUUGUACCACGUUCAGAAUUUAACAUGGCACACAAAUGCAUUGGAGGAAAAGCUUUAAGUUUGAUCUCACUUUCCUCAAGAACUAAAGUGGUUUGGGGGAAUAUAUGCCCUGGACUUUGGGGGGAGAAUAUCCUUCUGUUGUUACUGUGUCUUCCCAGUGAAUAGAUCUUUGUAUCAGGAAAUUGAUGUCAAUUGGUUAAAAGGAGGCAAUAAUCUACCCACAAGCACUGGCAACUGAUACUGAAUAAAAAACAUUGUUAAAGGCUCAGGCCAAAAGCAUUAGAACAAAAUAUUUCCAAUCUUUCAGAGACAGUCUGAGAACCCUGAGGUGAGAUGAAGGAGCUGACCCCAGAAACUCAAAGCUGCAGAGCAUGGCCUGCAUAUUCAGUUUCUCUCCUUACUGUUUCUUAGGAUUUUUGGGGAGGAAAGGGAGGGAAAGACAUGAAAUGCUUGAGGACUGUCCCUCCAGCACCCCAGAAAGGAAGCCUGGGAGGAAAAGCAGGAGGAGUAGUCUAAAUAUGAUUAAGGGCCAAGUAUCACAUCUAGGAGCUCUGAAAUUUUUCACCUUGUGUUUGUGCUGUUGUUUUUUUUUUAAACAUGACCACUUUAUAUUGAUUGCAUUUUAUGAAUGAGUUAUCCAGAAUAAGGAAAUUCCAGAAUUGGGGCAGAGUAUGGCCGUAGAUUUUAUUUUUCUUAUUACUGAGAUAUAUGUAUUGCACCUUUAACUUAAAUUAAGGAGCAGGCCAGGACCACAAGCCUCCAUGGGAAGGGAACUAGUCUGAGUUUGUUCAGACUGAGUCCCCUCUUGUAGCCAAUGGAGAUGCUAAAACAUUUGAGAAAGGCUAUUUGGCGGAGGUACCAGGGCAAGUCUAAUGGUGCCUCUAGGGUAAUGGCUGCAAUAAUGUCACGUAGUCAACAAUUCAUAUGCUUCCCUCUCUCUUUGGAUGAUUACUAUCAUACCUACCUAGUGGGGCUUCAGCAUAGUGGCACAGGAACUGUGUGGACCAAGUUCAAUUCCAAGUAUUUCAUGCAGCCUUUGCCAUUGUCACAGAGAAAUGAUGAUGAUCACAAGACAAUUUUCCAAAAAUUUAGGGUAGUUGGUGAAAACAGUCCCCCAAAUCAUAUUUUCUCUCUGAAAACAUUAACAUGAUGGAAAAAGAAUAGUACUAAGUAAUCUAAUCCUAGAAUGCUAGGAUGAUUAGGAGAAACUUACCAAAAUUUAGAGGAGUCGGUAAAAGCAGUCCCCAAAAUCAUAUUUUCUCUCUGAAAACAUUAACAUGAUGGAAAAAGAAUAGUACUGACUGAGUAAUCUAAUCCUAGAAUGCUAGGAUGAUUAGGAGAAACUUACCAAAAUUUAGAGGAGUCGGUAAAAGCAGUCCCCAAAAUCAUAUUUUCUCUCUGAAAACAUUAACACAGUGGAGAAAGAAUUUUAUUAACUGAGUAAUCUAAUCCUGGAACUCUAGGAUUUGCUUACAAAAUGUAAAAGAAAAUUCUUCACAUCCUGAAAGAAUCAAAUUGAGAGUGUCAAGCAGCUUUAGAAUUGGAAGCACAGAAACUAAGACUGUUGUCCAUUUCAUCAGUGUGCCUCAGGGGUUGAGGAAGAUGGGAGAGGAUAAGGAUGGGACAAAACAGCUCCCACUGGUGGGGUAGAACCUCAUCACAAGUGUAUAUUCAUGUUGGAUCCUUUUCCUGAACCCAGGAAGUAUCUUCACUAUAUGUACAUCCAGGAUGAUAGUGAAUCCCACCCCAUCCUUCCCCUACCAGCAGGAAAAAGGGAGCAAGCCGCAGUCCUCAAGACACUCCCUCCACUGCUAUAAAGGAGAGAGCACCAACCCACAACUGUCAGCUCCCUUCCCUCUUCUCAUUCUCAUCAACUGCAAAGAAUGAACACCCAGUCAUCAGAGCUGACACUGGGAAAUUUUGGGGGGACAAUAAUUCCAGGUGUCUUGCUAUGGGUUUGGAGUGGAGAUAUAGCUCUUCCACCACAAAUUAGACACAAAUGAAAUAAAUCCUUCAUCAAAUCCCGUUGUUGCUGUUGAUUGGAACUAAGGAAUAAUGAGAGGUAGCAUCUGUGCCCUAUGACAUGAGACAUGUCUAUGGAUUCCUCGAGGAAGUGGAAAGUAUUGGGAUGGUUAGUGAGGACUGUCUGAAGGAUAAGGGGAUAGUGGGAGGGAUCAGCAAGUAAGCUUUGGGUGCCUUCUCACAGUCCCGCAAAUAGGGAAGGGAGGGAGAACUAUGCUCCCAAUCCACGUGUAUAUGCCCCCCAUUCUUUCAUCCCUCCCAGCAUUGUACCCUGUGUUGCCAGGCUCUGUGCCUUUCCCUCUACUUAGUUACCAUCAGCCAGCAAAAAGGAGAGAAUGACUAUGUCUCUUUUUUCCUCCAAGCAGAACAAGUAAUCUUUGUAUGAAGUUAUAAUUUAGCUUAAUUUACUUUAAAACUUUCCCAUUUUGUAAAAAGAGAACAGUUUGGAACAAAAAAAGCUUGUGCAAGAAAAAGAUUAGUGCUAAAUGGAAUCCAGCUCCCGCAGCCCAGUGCUCAGGAUCAGUAAAGGGCAUUACCAGGAUGAUUCCUUGCAUGUAUAGCUUGAAUCACAUGAAAGCUGAGGUUCCUGUCAGCUCUCACCGUCUAUAACCCUGUGGGUCUCAACUUUAAUGCUCCUCUCAGAGAGCUCUGGCAGUAGACAUAUCCCCACCCAAUGUAGACACCUAAAGAAUGGGAACUAAAGAGGGGCCCAAGUUUGACCCCAAGCAGAGAGCUAACUAAAAUGGCACCCCGCUCAGAAAAGAUCAUGUGUUCAUGUGUUGCCUUUUUACAGGCCUGUGAUGGUCAGGUGAUUUAUGUCCCUUGUGGAAGGGACACUCUCUCAGACUUGCAUAGUAUUAAAAAGAUAGAAAUGGAAUGAAAUGAAACAAAAUUAAAUACAAGCAUUUGAAGCAAGGGAGUUUAAGCACAAGGUGUUGCUCAGGCAGGGAGAGUGGCUAUCUGACAUAAAGAAAAUAGGAAAUGGGGAGCGGGGUGCUCUGGAAGCCCAACCCCUGCUUCUGCUCCUUUUCCAGAGAUAUCCUGCAUUGAAAUACAACUCCAAGCUCAUUCCCCAUGUUGAAUUCUCUACUCCUAGUGGGACUAAGAAAAUAAAUGACUGUGUCUGGGAAGGAGGAGCUUGUUUCUUGGAAAUACCUAAAGCACCCCAACAGCCUGUGGUCGAUUUCCAUUCUUCUGAUUAAAACUUUUAUCAAGUA